rnacentral:rRNA from 1 species
AACGCUGGCUGUGUGCCUAAUACAUGCAUGUCGAGCGGAGUUCUUCGGAACUUAGCGGCGAAUGGGUGAGUAACACGUACUUAACAUGCCCUCUAGAUUGGAAUAACGAUUAGAAAUGAUCGCUAAUGCCGGAUACUUAUAUCUUUCGCAUGAAGGAUAUAUAAAAGGAGCGUUUGCUUCGCUAGAGGAUUGGGGUGCGUAACAUUAGCUAGUUGGUAGGGUAAUGGCCUACCAAGGCUAUGAUGUUUAGCGGGGUUGAGAGACUGAUCCGCCACACUGGGACUGAGAUACGGCCCAGACUCCUACGGGAGGCAGCAGUAGGGAAUUUUCCACAAUGGACGAAAGUCUGAUGGAGCGACACAGCGUGCAGGAUGACGGCCUUCGGGUUGUAAACUGCUGUUAUAAGGGAAGAAAAAAUAAAGUAGGAAAUGACUUUAUCUUGACGGUACCUUGUCAGAAAGCAACGGCUAACUAUGUGCCAGCAGCCGCGGUAAUACAUAGGUUGCAAGCGUUAUCCGGAAUUAUUGGGCGUAAAGCGUCUGUAGGUUGUUUGUUAAGUCUGACGUGAAAACUUGGGGCUCAACCCCAAAUUGCGUUGGAUACUGGCAAACUAGAGUUAUGAAGAGGUUAGCGGAAUUCCUUGUGAAGCGGUGAAAUGCGUAGAUAUAAGGAAGAACACCAACUUGGCGAAGGCAGCUAACUGGGCAUACACUGACACUGAGAGACGAAAGCGUGGGGAGCAAACAGGAUUAGAUACCCUGGUAGUCCACGCUGUAAACGAUGAUGAUUAGCUGAUGGGGAACUCAUCGGCACAGCUAACGCAUUAAAUCAUCCGCCUGAGUAGUAUGCUCGCAAGAGUGAAACUUAAAGGAAUUGACGGGGAUCCGCACAAGCGGUGGAGCAUGUGGUUUAAUUUGAAGAUACGCGUAGAACCUUACCCACUCUUGACAUCUUCCGCAAAGCUAUAGAGAUAUAGUGGAGGCUAACGGAAUGACAGAUGGUGCAUGGUUGUCGUCAGCUCGUGUCGUGAGAUGUUCGGUUAAGUCCUGCAACGAGCGCAACCCUUGUCCUUAGUUAAAUGUUCUAAGGAGACUGCCCGAGUAAUUGGGAGGAAGGUGGGGACGACGUCAAAUCAUCAUGCCUCUUACGAGKGGGGCAACACACGUGCUACAAUGGACGGUACAAAGAGACGCAAUACGGCGACGUGGAGCAAAUCUCAAAAAACCGUUCUCAGUUCGGAUUGUAGUCUGCAACUCGACUACAUGAAGUCGGAAUCGCUAGUAAUCGUAGAUCAGCUACGCUACGGUGAAUACGUUCUCGGGUCUUGUACACACCGCCCGUCACACCAUGGGAGCUGGUAAUGCCCGAAGUCGGUUUUGUUAACUACGGAGACAACUGCCUAAGGCAGGACUGGUGACUGGGGUGAAGUCGUAACAAGGUAUCCCUACGAGAACGUGGGGAUGGAUUACCUCCUUU